CCUAACAAAAAAGCUUAGGGCACUUAUGCAUAAAUUUUAUCUGCUAAGGGAGUUUCUUGCAAAAAAACUGAUCACUAUGAUUUAUCAAUCCUUAAUUGAGCCUUUACUAAGGUAUGGAAUUUUGUUGUGGGGUGGAGCAUAUGAAAACAACAUAAGAAAUCUCAAAGUAGCUCAAAAUUCAAUUAUUAAAAUAAUGUUAAAAAAACCUAAACUUUUCUCUACAACCGAAUUAUAUAAUAAUAAAAUCUGUGACUUGAAAACACUCUAUAUUUCAACAUGUUGCACAUAUAUUCAUAAAAAUUUCUCCAAACAGACACUAAUAGAACAUAAUUAUCAAACUAGAGGUAACAUCAAAAGAAGCUUAGUUUCACCACAGUUAAGUCUAAAUGAAUCUACCUACACAUUGUUACAACAAUAGGGAGAUUAAGUAUAUUUAUCCUAUUCACAGAUUAACUGUGACAGAGAAGGGUGCCAAAUAUUCUUGCAUGAGAUUAUUUAAUAAAUUGCCCCACGACAUUAGAAAAAUAACACAAU
rnacentral:lncRNA from 1 species